rnacentral:rRNA from 1 species
UGGGGAAUAUUGCGCAAUGGACGAAAGUCUGACGCAGCAACGCCGCGUGAGGGAUGACGGCCUUCGGGUUGUAAACCUCUUUCAGCAGGGACGAAGCGAGAGUGACGGUACCUGCAGAAGAAGGACCGGCCAACUACGUGCCAGCAGCCGCGGUAAUACGUAGGGUCCGAGCGUUGUCCGGAAUUAUUGGGCGUAAAGGGCUCGUAGGCGGUUCGUCACGUCGGGAGUGAAAACUCGGGGCUUAACCCCGAGCCUGCUUCCGAUACGGGCAGACUAGAGGUAGGCAGGGGAGAGCGGAACUCCUGGUGUAGCGGUGGAAUGCGCAGAUAUCAGGAAGAACACCGGUGGCGAAGGCGGCUCUCUGGGCCUUACCUGACGCUGAGGAGCGAAAGCGUGGGUAGCGAACAGGAUUAGAUACCCUGGUAGUCCACGCCGUAAACGUUGGGCGCUAGGUGUGGGGGACAUUCCACGUCCUCCGUGCCGCAGCUAACGCAUUAAGCGCCCCGCCUGGGGAGUACGGCCGCAAGGCUAA